GAGGAUGGCGGACGGGUGAGUAACGCGUAAGGAACUUGCCUCUUGGACUGGGACAACUGUUGGAAACGACAGCUAAUACCGGAUAUUAUGAGAUUCUCGCAUGAGAAACUUAUGAAAGCUAUAUGCGCCAAGAGAGAGCCUUGCGUUCCAUUAGCUAGUUGGUGGGGUAACGGCCCACCAAGGCGACGAUGGAUAGCCGGCCUGAGAGGGUGAACGGCCACAAGGGGACUGAGACACGGCCCUUACUCCUACGGGAGGCAGCAGUGGGGAAUAUUGGACAAUGGGCCACAAGCCUGAUCCAGCAAUUCUGUGUGCACGAUGAAGGUCUUCGGAUUGUAAAGUGCUUUCAGUUGGGAAGAAGAAAGUGACGGUACCAACAGAAGAAGCGACGGCUAAAUACGUGCCAGCAGCCGCGGUAAUACGUAUGUCGCAAGCGUUAUCCGGAUUUAUUGGGCGUAAAGCGCGUCUAGGCGGAAAAAUAAGUCUGAUGUUAAAAUGCGGGGCUCAACUCCGUAUUGCGUUGGAAACUGUUUUUCUAGAGUACUGGAGAGGUGGGCGGAACUACAAGUGUAGAGGUGAAAUUCGUAGAUAUUUGUAGGAAUGCCGAUGGAGAAGUCAGCUCACUGGACAGAUACUGACGCUGA
rnacentral:rRNA from 1 species